UGUCUGCAAUGGAAAACGGAGCAGGGCCGAGUAGAGUCGAGUCAAUCGAUUUGCGCUUUGGAAGCAUUUUUCGGCAAGGCAGCAUAGAUCGUCAGAACGCUGGCAACAGUUCAAUGUUUAGUCCUGAUGGAACACUUCAUGGAGAGAAUCCUGACACAAGGAGAGCAGUGAAGGUGCUGUGAUGGAAAGGGGGUCUUCAAAGGCUUAGCAGUCUGUAACCACAUGGCAAACCUGGACAUUCAGCAACCACAAAGCAGCUGUGGGCAUAGCAUGAUGGCCAGCAUUCCUCACAGGCAGGAAACUCCUCUCUUCCCAUGGGCACAUGGGAUGAUGUAUUUCCUGUUUAUUUCUUGGGCCACCCCUACAACUGUGAAUACGGCAAAGAACCUGGACUAAGUCCAAAGAGUCUUCACAAGAAUCAGAGAACUGCAAAGACUCUGUGACCCUUUCCUCCACAUUUGUGGUUUCAGGCCAUCCUUAUUUAUCUAUAGUAACAAAGGUUUCCAUAAAAAGUAGUGCCUGUUUCCUGUCUCCCAAGCAAAAGCAGAUAUGAAUCUGAUAAACCAAAUUCUGAUUCCCACAUAAGAUACAGUUGCAUAUGGCCACAGGGUCUCAGAACUCCUGACGUCAGGUCAUGAAUUUAACCUGAAAACUGAAGCUUAAAUUAUUUCAUGUCUGGGGAACACAAAACUUAUGGCAAAACAAUAUUAUUGUACAAAGGAAUACGCUGUGAGUUGUUUAAGCCAUAAUCCAUGCCCCUUCAACUAUGAUUAAUGUUCAAAAUGGUGUCUAUUAUUUAUGAUUCGGGUCUUCCUGCAGUUAAUACAAUAAUUGUUUUG